rnacentral:rRNA from 1 species
UACGAAGGGUGCAAGCGUUAUUCGGAAUAAUUGGGCGUAAAGCGUCCGCAGGUGGCAGUUCAAGUCUGCUGUCAAAGACCGGGGCUUAACUUCGGAAAGGCAGUGGAAACUGAACAGCUAGAGUAUGGUAGGGGCAGAGGGAAUUCCUGGUGUAGCGGUGAAAUGCGUAGAGAUCAGGAGGAACACCGGUGGUGUAGACGGCUCUCUGGACCGUAACUGACGCUGAGACACGAAAAGCGUGGGUAGCAAACAGG